AGCUUAGCUCAGCUGGUUCAGAGCACUCCGUCUUUGACGGAGGUGGUCACUGGUUCGAAUCCAGUAGUUCCCA
rnacentral:tRNA from 1 species